ACUUUUUUAUGAGGUCACUGAGACUUAUGAAGGCUAUGGAACUUCCUCAAGGUCAUGCAGAAUCAGAAUGCAGACAUGUUUGAUUGCAAAGCUCAAGUCUAUUUAACCACUAUAUUACUCUCUGUGCACAGAACAAAAUGUCAAUAAGAAAUUUUACUUGGUUUUACCUAUGUUUUAAAGAUCUAAGCAGAUAAUUUUUUCAAAAUUUAUCCAGAUUUUCUGAAUCUUCUUAUAAAGGAAAAAUAUCUUAUGCCUGCAUAAAUGAAAGGAGACCAAGAUUAUUGACUUAUUCAUUUAGCAAAUACAUAGUGAGCCCCUAUCCUCCACUAGGCAUUGUGCUAAAUACUAAGGAUAUAGUAAUGAUAAGAUACAUAAUCCUUUACCUCAUCAGGCUCUGCUCCUAGUGGGUAGACAAAAGAAAAGCAGAAAAAGAUGACAACACAACGGGCUGAAAUGACCAUAAUACCGGUAUGUGCCAGGUACUGAGAGAGGACGAAGGCUUCACGAGCGUGUUUGAAACCAAGACUUGAUAGGAAUUUUACUUUAACGGAAGAUAGCGGUGAGGGCUUGAACACUAAGGAAUUAAUGAGAGAUCAGCCCCUUUAGCGACUCAAAGCAUAUUAUAACUCCAGCUGGUCAAAAAGAGAGGAAAUAAAUAAUAUAACAGGAACAACUGGAAGAGCAAGUGCAGCAUCAGGUUGGUGCAUUUCUUCUGAUCAAAAGGUCGAAUUGCAACUGGUCUUUGAAGAGUGUGCUGGUGACAGUGUGCAACCUUUGCAGUAGCUCCUGGACUGGCCCUAGACUGCUGUCAAAUUAAACCAGCACUGUAAAGAAGAGAGCAAGUUGAAUGAAGUUGAAUGAAGGGGCAUCUUAAUUCCAAUCCUGGCUCUAAUGCUGACUGUAAGCAUGACCCCGGAUGAGUUAUUCACUCUCUCAGUCUCAGUCUCCUCAUCCACAAAGCAGGGAUCACAAUAAAUGAAUAGCACCUUUCACAGAACCCACCAUAUAUACUGAGUGUUCAAUAAAUACCGUGUUCAUCAUCUAACAUCAUAACACAUUGAGCAUCCAUCAAAGCAGAAGUAGUUCGCACCUGGAUAUUUCUGUUUCUUUUUUUUUUUUUGCUAUCCUACUGGUGUUUUACUUAAAUUUAGUGUGGUAAUAUGAAAGAAAAUUACUGCUCUUCUGCUAUUUAGUUAGCAUUUUUAUGCUUUUUAAAAAAUAUUGCAAUAAAAUUAAUAAAAUUUGAAUUCAGUCUUUC
ensembl:lncRNA LINC02143 long intergenic non-protein coding RNA 2143